AUGAUGUGCCCAAGAACUGGAGGACAUGAUCUCACUCACCAGCAGGUACAGACUAAACUUACGGCAUUAUAAUGGUUGCUGUUUCUGCUUUACUAAAUAGAUACCAAAUCAUGUUCUGCAUUUGUAACCAUCUCUUCCUUUAUAUUCCUCUUUUAUUUCUGAAUGGUCUAAUAAUGGCAUCUGAUCUCAAAACUGAAUAGUGCAGUAGUAAGUAUUCUGUGUUGACCUACCCACGAAGGUGUAGCAUAACAUAACAGAUAAUUUGAAGGCCCAUAAUUAUCACUCUGGAAAGCCUUGUAUCAAGUUAGUUGGGCUGUAUUUGUUUUCUGCCAGCAACAUCCCCACCGUUGGCUGGCGUACAUUUCCCUCUCCUCAUACAUGGUGGUGUCAGACUCGAGGAUAAGUAGACACACUUGACCUUACAGAGCUGUUUUGAUACAGGUUGCAGCUGCUCACUCAUGCCACUUGGUCACUGAACUGAACAUCGAGUCGUAUUUACUCUGAAAAUGCUAGGUCAUGUCCUGUUAGUGCAGACCACUUUUAUGUCCUGAAACAUUUUUUUUUGACACCUGAAACAGUAGGAGAGGCUCCUACUGUAUGUAUUAAAUUAAAGUAUCAAAAAAAGGUCUUACAAAGUCAUAACCUUACAUCCAUGGCCAUGCUAAAAGAGUGUAGUAGGGUAGGAGCUGAGAAGGAGAGCUAGCCUAAGGGAGAACAAAAGAUUGAAUGAAGGAGGAAAUAAACUGUCUGUGCUUCUCUUUGGCUCUAUGUAUGAGGAGAGAGAAGUCCUCCUUAAAUCUUCUAGCCCAUGAGCUGACAGUAGGGUCCUGAAACAUUUGCCACCCCUGAUGCCAUUCAUCUCUGUUACGAUUUUCUCAUUACCUGCAGAAUUUUGGAUCUUAGCGCAAAUGUUUCUUGGAAAGUUUCUCCUGUUGUAUACCGAAGUUGUAGUUGGCACACACUUUUUGCAACUGCCUAUUUCUUAGUUAAUGUGUAAUUCUUACUCAAAAUAAAUACAUAAUAGAUUUUUAUCUCAUUUAAUCAGCAAUAAGAGGUUCUUAGACUGGGUGUCUUCUAUAAAAAAAAAGUGCUACUUUGGCUAGAUUGAUGACUUAUCAGAAAGAGCAACAAAUCUGAUAUAUAUAUUUACUAAUUUGAUGCUCUUUUGAAGCCUCCACAUUAAUCCAUGGAGAUUAGCAACUAUGACUGUCCCGUCUUUGCUGCGGAAGAUCUAGACCCUCGGAUCAGAAGAUGCACCCUCAGAUGGUGUAGGCCUUGCUAGUCAUGUCCUGAGUCACGCAGGCCUUGCUCGUCACAUGGUGUAGCAGCUGCAGCCCUGCUCCACCUCCUUUACAAUGCUGCGAAGUAAGGAAGCUUAUAGAGGUAUCCGUGUGUCAUUCCUUCACCAUCACACUUGAGAGUUCCAGUUUAGAUUUUUGAUCCUUGCAUAUCAUGUGUUCGCUCGUAAUAGUAUAAUGUCUCAUGAGUUUUAACUGCCCUGAUUUGUUUCCUCUACAAACUGUAGAUCUCCAAUCCAGAUAAAUAAUGUUUGCAUGCUCUCCUCUAUGAUUGUAGGUGCUUAAAUCUAAGCUGUACUGUUUCCUUUGUCGUUGUUUGGUAACUCGGUCAUGUUGAAUAUGUUACUAUAUGAAUUAAAACCACCACAGGAAUUAUGGAACGGAGUAAGUAGCAAUCACACACAUGUAUAAUGUUGUUGAAGUGUGGAGCCAUGCGUC
rnacentral:lncRNA from 1 species